rnacentral:rRNA from 1 species
AUUUAACGCUGUCGGCAGGCCUAACACAUGCAAGUCGACCGAGUGGCGGACGGGUGAGUAACGUCCGGGAAACUGCCUGCUGGCGGGGGGUGACUACUGGCAAUGGUAGCUAAUAACGCAUACCAUAGGAUGUCUCCCGAUGGGAUUAGCUGGUAGGUGGGGUAAAGGCUCACAUAGGCGCCGAUCCCUAGCUGGUAUGAGAGGAUGACCAGCCACACUGGAACUGAGACACGGUCCAGAUGCCUCCGGGAGGCAACAGUGGGGAAUAUUGCACAAUGGGCGCAAGCCUGAUGCAGCCAUGACGCGUGUAUGAAGAAGGCAUUCGGGUUGUAAAGUACUUUCAGCGGGGAGGCGUUACCCGCAGAAGAAGCACCGGCUAACUCCGUGCCAGCAGCCGCGGUAAUGC